AUCAGCACGUCAAAGAAUGUUUAUGACCAGAAGCUCAAGUCGCCUGGGAUGGCAAACUCUAGCCAACUCUUCUUAAGGCCACUAAAAGAUUGAUCAGCUUACCAGGAGGUGACAGGCAGCAUACAAAGUAUGACCACCAGUACCUUGAUGUUGAGGAAAAGAGACUUUGUAGUUUACAUUGCAAACAUUGAUUAUUAUUAAUUUAUUGUACAUACAUGUAGGCUUAAUUAUAUAAUUAUACUAUACAUUCAUGUACCUCA